rnacentral:rRNA from 1 species
AUUGAACGCUGGCGGCAGGCCUAACACAUGCAAGUCGAGCGGAGCGGCGGACGGGUGAGUAAUGCCUAGGAAUCUGCCUGGUAGUGGGGGAUAACGUCCGGAAACGGGCGAUAAUACCGCAUACUAUCAGAUGAGCCUCGGUCGGAUUAGCUAGUUGGUGGGGUAAAGGCUUACCAAGGCGACGAUCCGUAACUGGUCUGAGGGGAGGAUCAGUCACACUGGAACUGAGACAAGGUCCAGAAUCCUACGGGAGGCAGCAGUGGGGAAUAUUGGACAAUGGGGGAAAGCCUGAUCCAGCCAGACCGCGUGUGUGAAGAAGGUCUUCGGAUUGUAAAGCACUUUAAGUUGGGGGGCGUUGCUAACAGAAUAGACACCGGCUAACUUCGUGCCAGCAGCCGCGGCGGUAAUUC